rnacentral:miRNA from 1 species
UUUAGAUCCUGGAUUCCUUCC